rnacentral:rRNA from 1 species
UACGGAGGGAGCUAGCGUUGUUCGGAAUUACUGGGCGUAAAGCGCGCGUAGGCGGCUUUGUAAGUUAGAGGUGAAAGCCCGGGGCUCAACCCCGGAACUGCCUUUAAGACUGCAUCGCUUGAAUCCGGGAGAGGUGAGUGGAAUUCCGAGUGUAGAGGUGAAAUUCGUAGAUAUUCGGAAGAACACCAGUGGCGAAGGCAGCUCACUGGACCGGUAUUGACGCUGAGGUGCGAAAGCGUGGGGAGCAAACAGG